UGGACCAAUGAUGACCACUGGUGGCGUAUGAGUUAUGCACAUGAAUACCAUGUUUCUAGAAUUCUGAGGUCCAA
rnacentral:snoRNA from 5 species